AAAUAAUUGACAGUCCCCGGUGUACCGUUAUCUCGAAUCUAUCCGCUUGCCGAUAGAUGGUACCACUGUUGUUUCCAGAUGGAAGAUUCUUGACUGUUAGUAACGUCUGCUAUCUGGAGUAUUCAUGUCUAAACCCAACCUAAUUUGUCUGUUGGAUAACCAUGAAUUUUCGGUAUGGAUCGGGGACUGGAGUUGAAAUGAAAAUACUGAAAAGAGGAUCUCGUAUCGACGACAGACAAGAUGGAGCGUGCUCUGCGCCUUUGGAAUAUUUCAUGAGGAUUCCCGGACAGGCCUUCGGGCUUUCGAAGAGAAGCGUCACAUACAACCUUGACAACCAAAAGUGGCGAAGCGUAAUUUCGGCGAAAAAAAUAUAUCGAAAAAAUGGAAAAAUCUUACCGAAAAUCACCGUACGAGGUAAGGGUUGAACAGGGGAACAGUCCUGGUGCGUUAAACACGUGUGUUCUAGAACGGCGUUCGAGAGUGUUCCAGGGGUGCCUACGUGCGGCACGUUAAUACAGCUCGGUGCAGAGUGGAGGGUGGCUGCUGAUGUAAUUUUUGCCCGUUUGAUGUCUUUAAUGGAAUCAGGCGCGUACCUAGCAGGCGCCACUCAAUUUGCAGGGUGCGACUAAUGGCUGCCGAGAGGUAGAAAGCGUCCGGACGAACAAACGGAAGGACGCUCUUGCGCUCUGGUUGGCCAGCCUGGGGUCUCUCCGCCAACCCCGCGAAAGAGUCCACUUUACGAGACUCCGAUAAAUUCAAGGACCGCCGUGACGAAGGAAAAGGUCUCCUGCUCCAACCAUCGAAGGGAAGACCGAGCUCGCGAAGGGCGAAAAUAUUAUGUCUCUCCUCUCAUUAUCUCGCUAUUCUUGCUGAGCGAUCGAGCGGAAUGAUAGGCCUUCCAGCGAGUGUAUUUAGUCGAACGACUAUGGCUCCCACGGGUUCCGCGUUCAACCUAAAUGUUUGGUAUUACCGAACCAUGUUGUAGAGCUUGUACCCGUGUCUCUCGCGUUCUGGUACUGGUACUCAUUUAUCCUUCUCUCUCGCUCUCACCAUCUCUUUCGGCAUCUCUCUUGGCUCCUCUCACCGUUCUGUCCCUGUACGAAAUGCGUUUUCACGCCAAUUUGUCUCCCCGGAAGCUUUCACGAGUCUUUACGCUUCCCUCUCGGUAUAGUCGCGUAGCGGGGACCCGUUGAGGCCCCUUUCAGUACGCUGGAAAUGCGUGCGCGCGUACAUGCGUUCGUGCGUACGCAUCUCCACUUACUUAUCUAUAUGCGACUAUUGAGAUACACACGCGAUCAACUUACACGAGUCAAUGUACCGAUUCGCUUUCGCUGAUUGACUGAUAAGGAUUAAAUAGAUUUGUCAGAUCCUAUGUACGUUGUGGUUACGGCGAUAGUCUUAAAUGUCUGUCAGUACGGAUUUCAUGUCAAAAUCAUACGGAUAAGCUGAAUGUUAUAAUUUCACUUGUUGGUACGAUUUAUCAAAGACUUUCAGUUCAAUUGUUUUUCCGUCAUAUCAUUUGGAUGGUAGUAAUUUGGAAAGUAAUGAAUUAUUAUAUUAUUCGUAUUUGAAAUUGUGUAAAGUAUAACACCACGGGAAUGGGAUUGUAAUAUUUAUUAUAUGCGCGUUCUUUGCGAAAUGUCAUUAUAUUAUGAUUAAUUAUUAAAUUAACUUCGCAACUUAACUGCGACAAUUAAAUCGCUAAAGAGCGAAGGAUUGCACCGUAGAAAAACAGUGAUAUAUAAGAUUCCGAAUAUCAAGAGGGUAGCUCGUCGAAGAUUGACGAGUAUACUGAAUGAAACGAAUCUUGAUGGCGACUCCUGCGUCGGUGUGUAACUGUGUACAAUAACGAAAGGAAACCCGUCCACGUAUAUUUCCCCGGGGCCCCUCAGGCUUAGCAGGGGCCAUUGGAGCAUCGACGACAGCGCGGAAGAUCCAAGAAUCAAGCACACAGACGAGCGCCGCUGGAGAAUGGUGGAGAGCAAAAGCCGCAGGAGAUCAUAUCGGAGCAGAUAAUUGGUUGGCAAUCCUCUCUAAACCCCAGCGGCACUCUUUUUACGUUCUCCAGACUAGCAGGCUUCGCCCACGAAGCUACUGGCGCGGCAUUACAGGAUUGUUUUAAUUAAAAGCAACCAUUCGACAGUGCCAGGGACGGUAGUCGAAGCUAGAGGAGUAGACAAGAAAUGAAAAAAAAAAAAAAGAAAAACUUUUCAAAAAUGCCAGUGCAACCAAGAAAGGGUUACAGAAUGAAAUAAAAAAUUGCCGAAUUGGACAAAGGUAUUAAGGUGACGUCAUGAUUGGCGAACCAAUCCAGUGCCUUCAUACAAAACCCAAAGUGUUGGCUAGCAGGGGCGUAUCGUGGGGGCUCCUGUCAGGAGCCGAGUGCUGGUUUUACAGUGUCGGCGGCUGCGACCUGAUUACAGGGCCCGAGCAAUACCGUCACAAGGGCAUAACACGCUCUCGAAAGCCCGAGAAGCCUCCGUGCAACACACGACGAUACCGAUCAAAGAUUGACCCGGUAAAAAGAGGUAGACCGAUGCUGCAUGGGAUACGUCGGGAGGAGCUGCUGGUGCUGUUGGAGAUCUGGUCUAGGACGAGGGAGGUGAGGAAAUGGUGGCUGGAGGGAAGGAGGAUAAGAAGAAGGCGGAGGAGGACACAAGAGGCUCUCAGCUCAGAGCGGGCAGGAUAAAUAAACGCGGCGAGCCGCCCUCUCAUCUCGAACACCUCUAUUUCGCCGCUCCUGGAGUGCAAGUCAUUGCGUUACUCGAGUCCCAGCAUCGGUUCAGCAUCGGAGCCGAUCUUCGACGCCUUUGGGCCCUGCGAUAUCUCGCUACGUUACAUUUCAUCGGACAGUAACCGUACAGCGUAUAUGGCUUCUGUAUCUUAUAACCAACUCAAUUUGGUCGGUAGGACUGAUCUGAUGAUCGGUAAUCAUCGACGUAAGCCCAUUGUAGGUCUUAUGGCUUAGUACCGAUUUACAUAGCAUAAUGUUACUCUUUCCAGAGCACCUGCUGGGAUCGGUCGAGAUGUUUAUAAUGCCAAAAAUCACCGUAAGGUCACGCUGCCGGUAUCUGUCGCCAUUACCAACCGACCGUUCAGCAUUUAAUCCACAAAUCGGCUUUCCAGAUCGGCCACCAGAGCGACCACCGAUGUCUCCCAUCAUCUUCAUCCGUUCUCGACGUCUUACGACUCUUCUAGUCAUUUUUCAUGCUGGAAACUAAUUUUUCUUUUUCUUCGUGGUCAGUUCACGCGUUCAUCGAAACACUGGUUUAUAUUCAUGUACGAUUGAGUAACGGAUAUACGUGGUUACCUCGGUAAACGUAUGCCACUGCGGAAGAACGAUAGGAGGUGACGUAACGAUUUUCUCCGAUCGUAGUCGUAGCCCUGCGAUUUGCUCGAUUACCUGUAAUGACGCUCUCGGCGGUUGUGCGUGGCCGCGCACGCAAUCCGCGAUCCGUGAGUGCGCACUCGCUCGACAAUGGCAGCUCAUUAUCACUUGGUAUUGGCCCAUUGUUAGCCAUGGGAGAGCCGGAACGGCCUUACGGCAAUGAGAAACGAUACGUAUCCAUACGGCACCCCCUCUGGCGUACAGGGGAUGCUAUAUGCUAUAGAUAGAUAACCUAUUUUCGUAGCGACAAGAGGCAACAAAAGAUUUUUGCUUGGACACAUAAAAGCAUAUACCAUAACCAACGUAGGGAAUUUGCCAUAUGGAUUUGUCAGGAGAUAAAAAUGUCAAACCGCAGAUCGUGGGCGGGCUCUGGGUAACGCACGUCAGGGGUGUAUAAACUGGGUUCUUUUCUCACGUAAUUCUUAUUGGUGUAUGAAAAAAAAAAUCCUCUUGCUUUUCUCACUUAUUGAUAUUCUGCCAGCUCGUGGCACCUUCGACGAGAAAAACCAAGGAAAAUAAUUUCCUUCUCCGAGGCUCCCCCACUCGGGAGCCAGAAAAGCAAGCAGAAAACGUAGACAGACAGCUGAAACCCGAUGGGCGAGCCAGGGCGCGCUAAAACAUGCAAAAUCAUGUAAAUUGCGUUCACUCGUCCGCCACCCUGUAUACUUGCUAUCUCUAUCUUUUUCUCUCCCUCCACGCUACUUGCUACCCUUUGUGUAUAUAUAUAGCUGUCUUUCUUUCUCUCGUUCUCCGGCGUCACUCGUACUCGCUGGCCAUUGUAUUAAAUGUAUAUACGGUGGUUACACAAGUGCAAGUUCGUUCUGCCUCCUACAUUCUCUCACUUUCGAGCCUCCCGCGAGCUCUGUCCUGCGCGUCAAAAAUGUUUCGACAAUUGUGUGCCGCUACGUUUUCUUCCUUUAUUUUUGCCGAGGGGUGGAAUAACGACGAUGGGCGGAGCCCUGCUGAAAUAGGAAUGAAACUUCGAGCGCCAUAUUUACAUCGUGCACGAAAAAUUCGAAUCUACCCUCCUGCUACUUCGCGAACCCUUCAAGGAGUCUUUGGGAGAGCGAAGGGUUAGCCGUCUAUAAGAAUUUUUCACCCUUUGAAAAUUUAGCCCUUUUUUUUUCUUUCUCAUAUUCCAGACGUUACUCGGAACGCUAAGGGUUGGUACGAUGUCAAAUUUUUUGAACCUAUUAAUUAUAUAUAUAUAAAUUUCCCCCGAAAAAAUUUAUUUUAAAAAUACCUCACGACUUAUGGUACGUACCUGGGUGCAUGCGUGGGGUAUUUCAAUUUUUCUAUUUCAUUAAUCCAUCUCGGAGGCAAAACCGGUCCGGGACGUUUUCCACUGCACUUUCUAUAGUUUUUCAGAGUUUCGGUAAUCCCAAAGAGAGACUCUGCCAUCUGGCGUUCGUUAAUGAAAUUAAAAAAGCUUCGAUAAAAAAAAUGAAAGAGCGACGGCUACCUAGGGGAUUUGUAGCGCGUUGAUUAAAACUGCGCCGAUGUAUGGCUUGCGUCGACGUCGAAUAUAACGUUCGCAUGUACGAGCGACGGUGCAUUUGAAUUUGUCGAAUAUGAAAGGUCCAUCGUAGACAGGAUGCGUCCUGAAGAAAAUCACUGUUAAAUAUUUUUAAUAAUAAAUAAUAAUCCACGUUAUUUAACGUAGCUAAAAAUAUUUUAAACGUACUAUUCGAUUUCGACAGACAAUACGACUAAUGGCCGAAGAUAUAAAGUCUAACCUAGCCACGUUAAUGACACCAGUAACGGCUCAUCAUUCUAUAUCGUAAGAAGCUAAUUGAAUUACCGCCUAUUGUCCAAGACGUCGGACCUCGCGGCCAUACUAUUUGAUCACUUUUCAUAACCCCUGUCUGUACAAUAAGACGUAUCAUCGUCAUAGUUUUUGUAAGCAGUGUCCUACAUAACACGAGGCGUGUCUCUAUUGUGAACGCACCCAAUUCAGUUCUGGUAGACACGUAAUUCACUUGGAUUUCAUUGCAUGCCUUACACAAUCCAAUAAUAAGUCGAGUUUCGUUCAAUUAGUCGUAGCAAAAAUGUAAAAAGAAAAAAAAUUGCAAAACCAA